AACGAACGCUGGCGGCGUGGAUAAGACAUGCAAGUCGAACGGGACAGACCGAGUAGCAAUAUUUGGAAUGUUCAGUGGCGAACGGGUGCGUAACACGUGGAUAACAUUCCGGAAAGCGGGGAAUAGCCCAGGGAAACUUGGAUUAAUACCGCAUGUGGCCGCAAGGCUAAAGACGGGGACCGCAAGGCCUGUCACUUUCCGAUUGGUCCGCGGCCUAUCAGCUAGUUGGCGGGGUAAUGGCCCACCAAGGCUACGACGGGUAGCUGGGCUUUGAGGACGACCGGCCACCCUGGAACUGAGACACGGUCCAGACACCUACGGGUGGCAGCAGUCGAGAAUCUUUCACAAUGGGGGCAACCCUGAUGGAGCGACGCCGCGUGGAGGAUAAGGUCUUCGGAUUGUAAACUCCUGUCAUGCGAGAACAAGGUACUCAGGCUAAUAACCUGAUUGUUUGAUGGUACCGCAAGAGGAAGAGACGGCUAACUCUGUGCCAGCCGCCGCGGUAAUAC
rnacentral:rRNA from 1 species